rfam:Ralstonia eutropha JMP134 chromosome 1, complete sequence.
CUAUAAUCGCGGCUUCCAUUGGGGAGUAGCCGCCCUGCUCUCACCGCGCCGCGCAAUGCGGCAACCGGCAGACAGGGGCGUACGUCAACAGACUUGACCGCUUGCGGUUAUGGCGUGCGCAGCUCCGGACCCGGCUGGCCAUCAGGCCUAGCCCGAUCCAAGGCCUGGCGAGACCGAUGACCAUACCUUUCUGGCCGGGC